AUUGAUCUUCUGGUACAAAAGCCAGAAUAUUUACACAAGACGAGAAGACCCUGUGGAGCUUAAAAUUUAUAGCUAAAUAAAAACUAGUAUCAAUUUUGAGUUGGGGCGACUUCGGAACAAAACAAAACUUCCGAGCUAGGAGACAACUCACCUCCUAAUAAGGCCAACAAGCCAAUUAAACAGACCCAGUCACACUGAUCAACGAACCAAGUUACCCCAGGGAUAACAGCGCAAUCCCCUCCAAGAGUUCAUAUCGACAAGGGGGUUUACGACCUCGAUGUUGGAUCAGGACACCCUAAUGGUGCAGCCGCUAUUAAAGGUUCGUUUGUUCAACGAUUAAUAGUCCUACGUGAUCUG
rnacentral:rRNA from 1 species